GCACACAUACAGAGGUUAAUUGAAUUAGCAUCUGAAUCAUGCCUGAGCAUUGAUAAGGGGAUACUGUUUGGACUUGCUGUCAAAUGUGAGGCUGCACAAGCAGAGCAAUGAGUAUUUAUUUGCAAACAGAAAGCGAGAGACAGUCAGUUGAUCACCACCACCAUAUAGGGUACUACAAGAAAAAUAAAGAAGGUUUGGUAAAAACAUAUAAAGUAGAUUUAUAUCUCAUGAUAAGAAGAUCUGUAACAGAAAAAAAAACAUGCAAACUAAUUGGUGGAGGAAGGGAAAGGGUUUUGGUAAGACUAACAAACAUAAAAUUCCAUGAAUACAAAGCUAAGCUUAAACUCUUAGGGAGACAUGCAAAUGAUUAAUUAAGCACAUGAUGCUAUAGUUACUAUAGUUACUUCUUCUAAGAGGGCUAGCUGAUACAGAUCAACACAGCAGUGUGCAUUUUUUUAAAAAAUCUUCCUUAGGGACUGUCAUCAGUGUUUUAAAAUUUUUUUAUUAUACAACUGAGUACCACCCAGUAAAGGAGAGGUUUUCUUUUCUUUUUUCCGUGUCAGGAGCAACUUGAGUUGCUCCUGGAGUGAGAGAAUUGGCUGUCUGCAAGGAUGUUGCCCAGGGGACGCCCGGAUGUUUUGAUGUUUUUAUCAUCCUUGUGGGAGGCUUCUCUCAUGUCCCCGCAUUGAGCUGGAGCUGAUAGAGGGAGCUCAUCCGCACUCUCCCCGGAUGGGAUUCGAACCUGGCAGCCUUCAGGUCAGCAACCCAACCUUCAAGUCACAAGGCUUUAACCCACUACUCCACCGGGGGCUCCGGAGAGGUGCCCCAAUGGGUAUGAAAGUCUACAAGAAGAAUGGGUUUGAGCUGUGCAUACAGCCAUCUGAAUCAUGGCUUUUGGUAAUGAUCUCUUUGUAAAUUCUAUUCUAUUAUUUUUAUUUUUAUUAUAGCUUUGGAAGCCCAAUGUAUUUGUUCCAAAAUGUAUAUGUACUGGAUUUUUAAACUGUUUAAUUGUUUAAAAUGCAUUUAAUCUAUUAAACUUGUAUUAAAUUAGUUGUUUAUGAAGGUGGUGGAACUGAGGGAAAGCCUGCUCUGAAGAAUUGUGCUGGCUUGUAUAUGGAGAUGUGAUGUGUUGCAGUCAUUUAAGGCUUUAAAGAUCAAAACCAGCACUUUGAAUUUUACCCAGAAUCAGACUAGCAACCAGUGACAUUGUUUACAUGGGUGGGUGGUGUGUCAUAUGAUUCCUUAGUCAGCAGCAAAGCAUUUUGACUACUGAAGUUUCCAAACUAUUUCCAAAGGCAGCCCUAUGUAGAGUGUAUUGUAAUAAUCCAAAUAGGAUGGAAUCAAGGCCAGAUGUGAUUUCCCAAGGAAUGAAUCUGAGACAGAGCAGUUAUUUCACAUGACCUUGCAAUAAAACAGUAGUGAAGAAAGUGCAGCCUGUGAGUUUCAUGCAGCCCUGCACCUAUUUUUGUACCUCCUACUUUUGCCAUGAUUUUAGCAAAACACGACACCCCCUUCAUUUUCUAUUUUAGAAGCAUUUUGACAAAGCAGAAAAUGAUUAAUUGCUUUCAGGUAAAAAUGCCCAUGGCCUAAAACAGCCUAGGGUGUUUGAGGGUCAGGGCAGGGGAACAAGGCAAAAUUACACCAUAUCUUGAGUGUGUAAUGUCAUUUUGAGUAACAAGAUGUCCUUUCCCAGUGUUAUUAAAGAGUUGGCUGGCCUUCAAGGGCUGCAGAAAUGCCUCAGGACUACAUAGAGUUGUCCCCAUUCUAGUUCAUUAACCCUGGUAUCAGAAACCAUUGGGGGUCAGACUACUUAUUAAAGGAAAUGUGUAUUUCCUAAGAAUAACCUGUUUUUAAUUUCCCACAAUCAAUUUCAGAACACAGCAUAGUACAUUCGUGAGGAAAAUCAUGUACUUACUAUGAAAAACAGACAUAGCACACAAGGGACAUCUGCAAAACAUGUGUGGUACGUUAUCAUCUCAUUUGAGCCACUAAGAUUGUUUUUUAACCAGUUUCAUCUUUCUGGUCCUUCAACAUAUACUCUUGUUGCAUUUUUCUAAUUUGUCUUUACUACCCUAAGGACUGGAAAAAUGGUUAACAAAUUGUCCCUCACAUUUCUGAGAGACAUUAUGUCAUAUGUUAUACUGGAGUGUCCCAGAUAUGCUGAAAAUCAUGUCUAAAAGCAUUCUUGAAGUGGAAAGGAUCAAUAUAAGCUGCUGUCUUUUAGAAGGCUCAAGUACUGUCAAAAACACAGGAUGCUGCCAAAUAUUGCGUUCUUAGAGCAGUGGUUCUCAACCUGGGGUCUCAGAUGUUUUUUGCCUACAACUCCCAGAAAUCCUGGCCAGUUUACCAGCUGUUAGGAUUUCUGGGAGUUAAAGGCUAAAAACAUCUGGGGACCCCAGGUUAAGAACCACCGUCUUAGAGGCAAUAAUUUGAAUUAAUUCACCCCUUUCCAUGGGGCACUUCUAGAAACAAACGUGACAUGCAGGAGAUCUCCCCUGGGUCACACACACAGAUUCUGCUCACUCCAGCUAGAGGUAUACUGCAUGGAAAUAAAGGAAAAUUUUCACUAUUACCUCUCCUUUGUCUUAGGUGAAAGUUACUAUUUUUGUUCUCAGUUUUCCUUCUUUUUUAAUCUUUAUUUCUUUUGUAAUUGUGCUACACCGGUUUCUUUCACAGGUCUCCUUUCAUGUUUCAAAUUUACAUCUAAACUACAUCUAAUCUUUGUGUCUUUGGUGGUUUCCUUUCACUCACUUUUCUCUGUUCUCUUACUCUAUUGCUUAUUAAACUGUAAUCUUAAACCCCCAUACUCUUGUCUGUUUCUUGCUUCAGUGAUUCCUUUUUCUCCUGUCAGAAAGAUCUAGACUGCCAUCUUUUUGUCUUGCUUUAAGAAAUUACCUAAAGAUUAUUUCCUUCACAUUUCCUAUCUUCAUUAUUUGUGCUUAGUCACCAGUAAAAUUAAAGAACUGAUAUAGUGUUUGUUAGUGACUGCUUAUGAUGAGUAUAAGUUGGGCUUAGUACUUGUUUGGUUUGUCCCACACUUUCCCUAUUCUCACUGUAGUAUAAUGUUACAGUCUUUGUUUAAGGCUUACAUACAACAAGUACAAAAGUUCUCUUUUCCUUCUUUCCCUCAAAUAACCUCUUUUGUGUCAUGAUUCUUUGGGCCAACCUUUUUAUUACAUUAGUUAUUCUUUGGAAAACAUGCUUUAUUUGACACUUCUGAUCAGAUUUGAACCCUGGACACUUCUAGGCAACCCCACACCAUUGUUACUUGCCAUCAAAGAUGUGAUUGAUGUAAUUUGUAGUUUGGAGCUUUGAUUGUAAGCCAGCAGAUGGGGAGAUACUCAUUUGUUUCUUGAGAAGAAUCUAUUACAUUUUUAUUCCAGUUGGGCCUAGUGAAUUCCAUGUUGGGGUGGCAGAGAAUCUGCUGAGUCUUACUAUAGGUUCAGCACCUCAGACAGCUCUUUCAAUUGUCAUAAUGAGAAGUAUAAUCAACGCUCCAGUUAAGGUCUUACAAACAUGGGGCUUUCUUAUGACCUUACAGGAUUCAGAGAGCAAGCAUCUUCUCCCCGCUUCUCUCCUCUGCUGGCAUGGAGCCUCUCAGAGCCCAUCACAUCAUGUAGGGCUACUUCUGGUGGGACUUUAGGGGCUCUGUGCCGGCCGCAUUGCACCAGUGGAGCCCAGAGGAGUUGGGUGCACACUGUAAUUUUGCAGCUCUUAAAAUCAUUCAGCAUAUAAAGACUCACUGAAAAACAGAAGAGUGGGGACAGAUGGGGAAACGUUAUGGAAAGGGAGACUACGGGCCAUGAUGGGAGGUAACAGAACCUGGCUGUUCCCUCCACUGCCCCAUUAUUGCCCCCACUUUAGUCCUGCCCAUGUGAUAAAGUUCUUAACUGACUCAAUACAUCUUUAAAGCAAUCUUUCUUUUUCCUACUGUCUUCCAUUUUAUCAAGCAUUAUAAUCUUUUCAGUUAAUCAUGUGAUCUCAUGUUACAGCCAUUUAGUCAUGUUUAGAAAUUUUGGAUUCUAGUAAGAUGCUUCUUUAAAGAUAAGGCAGAAAACCAGAGCUGAUUCACCACCCCAUGACAGGCACCACUUGCCACUUUUUUUGUUCACUUACACUAAUUCUGUUGAUCUUAUGUGCACAUAACUCUAUGUGUAUGCAGCUGUUGGUCCCAUAAAACAGCCAUCACUAUCACUUUAGAUGAAAAUUUGAGACCCAGAGUGUUGUAGAAUGCAGGGCAUAUGCCUGUGGACCAAGGCAACCCCACCCCAGACUCCAUUGCUUUUGUUGUUAAAAAUAGAAUUCCAUGCCUCCAUAGGCACCCAAGAUGUUCAGAUCUCCAUUUCAUCACACCCUGUAUCUGAAAAAAAUAUAAUUGAAAAAUGAAAGUCAUUAGAGCAUAAUUUUAGGUUUCAGAAACAUGGUGUUGUAUGACAUGUGGCAAUUCAGGCCCAGACACUCUAGAAGGGGCCCUUUUUGCUAUAGUGGGUAGAGAAUCAGAUUUAGACAGAGUUCAAAUUCCCAUUCUGUCAUAAAACUCACGAGGGGACUUUGGGCUGUCACUAGCAUUUUUAGCUCACCAUUAUUGAAAAUAGAAAAUGCUGAGAGAACCCAAUUUCUAGGGGACCCACAGGUUGAGAACUACUGCCUUAAAGAAUAAACAGAUUAAUGUUUUUGAUGUUUUACCAUCCAUGUGGGAGGCUUCUCUCAUGUCCCCGCAUGGAGCUGGAGCUGAUAGAGGGAGCUCAUUCGGGCUCUCCCCAGGUGGGAUUCGAACCUGGCAGCCUUCAGGUCAGCAACCCAACCUUCAAGUCACAAGGCUUUUAUCCCCUAGGCCACCAGAGGCUCCUGUCUCCUGUCUGUCUCCUGAGAAAUCUGCAUAAAGACUACGUAGCCACAGUAAGAACAGACAACAGAACAACAGACUGGUUCAAGAUUGGGAAAGGAAUAUGGCAGGGCUGCAUACUUUCACCCUACCUAUUCAACUUGUAUGCAGAAUACACCAUGCAAUGUGCGGGGCUUGAGGAAUCCAAGGCUGGAGUUAAAAUUGCUGGAAGAAACAUUAACAACCUUAGAUAUGCAGAUGAUACCACUCUGAUGGCCGAAAGUGAGAAAGAGCCGAGGAGCCUUAUCACCAAGGUUAAAGAAGAAAGUGCAAAAGCUGGGUUGCAGUUAAACAUCAAGAAAACCAAGAUUAUGGCAACCAGACUGAUCGAUAACUGGCAAAUAGAGGGAGAAAACGUGGAGGCAGUGACAGACUUUAUAUUUUUAGGUGCAAAGAUCACUGCAGAUGCAGACUGCAGCCAGCAAAUCAGAAGAUGGCUACUUCUUGGGAAGAGAACAUUGGCCAGUCUUGAUAAAAUAGUGAAGAGUAGAGACAUCACACUGGCAAUGAAGAUCUGCAUAGUUAAAGCAAUGGUAUUCCCCAUAGUAACCUAUGGAUGCGAGAGCUGGACCAUAAGGAAGGCUAAGCGAAGGGAGACAGACGCUUUUGAACUUUGGUGCUGGAGGUGCUGAGAGUGCCUUGGACCGCAAGAAGAUCCAACCAGUCCAUCAUCCAGGAAAUAAUGCCCGGCUGCUCACUGGAGGGAAGGAUAUUGGAGGCAAAGAUGAAGUAUUUUGGCCACAUCAUGAGAAGACAGGAAAGCUUGGAAAAGAUCAUGAUGCUGGGGAAAAUGGAAGGAAAAAGGAAGAGAGGCUGACCAAGGGCAAGAUGGAUGGAUGAAGUGAUUCGCAUGAACUUGGAGGAACUGGGGGCAGCAACGGCUGACAGGGAACUCUGGCAUGGACUGGUCCAUGAAGUCACAAAGAGUCAGAAAUGACUCUGACUGAUUGGAACUAGCAAUGGAAUAAAGGCUGUAGAAUUGUAUCAGAGCUACAGAAAUAAAUAAUUAUAUAGGAUUAAAAAAAGAAUUAGACUCUUUAAAAAAAUUGUCAGGUUUUGUGUAAAGAGAGAAAGCAAGUCCAGUUGCUAACCCCAUCUUAGAUUUACUGAAUCAACUGUGAAAUGGUUAAUCCCAUUGCUUCAGUGGGUCUUCUCUAAUUGAAACCAACAGUUGGCUAUUGGCCCUAGUUUCCACAAUGCUGGAUCACUUAAUUCGAGCUAGCAUGAAUAUACUCAACAUUUCCACAUUUAUUCUGCUUACCAUGGCUGAGAUUUUAAAUCAUUGCAAUAUUUGUGGUUCAUUCACACUGAGUGCAGAAGAUAAUAUGAGCCUUAUGUAGAGUAUAUGUAUCUCAAAACUUUCUCAGCAGAGAAUACAUUUCUUUCCACAUCUGGUUUUUUGAUAGAAUUUCCAAUUUGGUAUUAUCUCAAGAAAGAAGAAUCUAACUUUUCAUGGAGAAAGGUCUUUGGGUUUUUAAAAAUAUCUAUCAGACCAUCAAAGUGUCUUAUAGAACUCAGAGCAAUGGAUUCAAAUUACAGGAAAGGAAAUUUCACCAGAAAAUUAGAAAGAACUUCCAACCUUAGGAGGAACUUCCUGACCGUAAGAGUUGUUCAGCAGUGGAACUCUCUGCCUUGAAGUGUGGUGGAAGCUCCUUCUUUGACAGCAUUUAAACAGAGGCUGAUGGCCAUCUUUCAGGGGUGCUUUGAUUGUGCUUUUCUACAUGGCAGGGGGUUGGACUAGAUGGCCCAUGAGGUCUCUUCCAAUUUUCUUUUAUGAUUCUAACAUCUCUUCUGGUUUCAAAAUAGGGCACACGCUUUGUUGUUGUUAACUGCCAUCAAAACAGUGACCUUAUGAAUGAGAGACUUACAAGUAACCCUGACAUGAACAUGCUCAGGUCUUGCAGACUCAGGGCCAUACUAUUAUAAUUAUUUUUUGCAAUCAGAGCAAGAACUAGAAAGUUGACUUUUAAAAAGUAGUGACUAUGAGAUUUUUGGUCAAGUAAUAUUUUAUUUAAGAUUCCAUGCAAUAUGGCGUAGACUCAUCUGUGUGCUAUAAUUUAUAACAUUUGCUUCAAUUUUCACUUGUCUCUUACUUAACUAUCUAUAUUAUCAUCACUGUUAAUAGAAGAUAGCAUUCAAUUCUCCAUUUCAAGUAAGAAAAAGGCCUCUAAAGUUAAAGAAGGACAGAUAGGAAACAGAAGAAUUCUCAAUUCACCUGUUCCAGGACAGAAGUUAGUCAUCAGCUGGUUUCAAUUGAAAACUUCCUUUGGCAAAGAUCUGCAGCUUGAUCAAAACUGUUACUGCUUUAGUGUUGGAGACAAAAACAGAAAAAAGCAUUAUUUCCUUGAUGUGAGGCAAUGUAUAUGUUCUUCUGAAGCCAAGGUGGAAAUUGUGCAAUACUCCAGAUGUUGUUGGACUGCAACUCCAACUCUCAGUAUUUUUCCAUAUUGGCUGUGGUAGCAUUGAUUGGAAUUCACAUUCGAACAAUAUUUGCUGGGCCACACAAUUCCUAACCUUGCAGUAAACGAUAACUACAAGAAUUAGAACAUCUCCACUGAAGAAAACAAAACUGAAGGAACUUGAAAAGGCAAUGAAAUCCAAAGGUUUCAACCAAUUUUCAGUGAAUGUAGACCCGUGAUUCUCAACUUGUGGGCCCCCAGAUGUUUUGGCCUUCAACUCCCAGAAAUCCUUACAGCUAGUAAACUGGCUGGGAUUUUUGGGAGUUGUAGGUCAAAACACCUGGGGACCCACAGGUUGAGAAUCCCUGAUGUAGACUUUUCAUCAAUGUUAAAUUCUGCUUUAAGAGGCAGAGGGGGAGGUGUGGAACAUGAGUCUGCUGGUGAUACACACUAAUGUUAGGAGUCAUGGGAAAUAAAACAACUGAUCUAUUCACAACCAAACAACAAUUUUACUAAUCUUCCCCCAUAAAUCUGUUAUCUCUUUCUCCACCAAGAAUCUACUUGCCCAGCCAAAUCACUGAAGCAAAUGGGGACACAAUUGCAUCAUCCCAAUAGGACCUUGGUGAGCAACUCAUAAGUAAACAAAUGGAUUGGACAGGGAUGGAAAUGAAAUCUCUUCAUACCAGAAUUUUUGUAUUACUCAUGCUCAGAUCUUGACAUCUCCAGCCAUGACCUUGAGUGAGAGCCAAAUACGACCACUGUCAUUUUAAAUAAGCAGAUGUGAAUUAGAAAACAGGCAAACCAAGGCAUGUCAGCAGGCAACACCAUAUCAGCUGGUUGAUGAAAUCAGCAGGAGAUCCGAUGCACAUGUGCCGCCUCCAUUCUGUUGGGGGGAAAUUACAUUCAGACCCGCUUGAGAAAAAGAAGAAGAGGGGUUACCAGAGCUUUUUGAUGAGAUUUUCUUUUUCUCUGUCCCAGCUGUGAGGCCUGGAAGGUGUAAAUAUUACCCAUCCCUACAAAACUAGAAAAUCUUGUCUGCAGUAACUUCAUGGAGAGGCCAAUGGGAUGGCCUGAAGCACAUACAAAUGCUCCCUCUAGGAAUUAGCUGUUGCUGCGAAUAUUUGAACAGAUGGCUUCUCCUAUAUGUUGUGACUGUUGGGUGGCCAAAGAAAUUGUAAUGUAAUAAACUGAAUUCCUUUGUACAGUU